GGCGGGUUGGCAGAGUGGUUAUGCAGCGGAUUGCAAAUCCGUGUACACCAGUUCGAUUCUGGUAUCCGCCUCCA
rnacentral:tRNA from 9 species